GUCCACGCCGUAAACGAUGGAUGCUAGCCGUUGGCCAGCUUGCUGGUCAGUGGCGCCGCUAACGCUUUAAGCAUCCCGCCUGGGGAGUACGGUCGCAAGAUUAAAACUCAAAGGAAUUGACGGGGGCCCCGCACAAGCGGUGGAGCAUGUGGUUUAAUUCGAAGCAACGCGCAGAACCUUACCAGCCUUUGACAUGCCCGGCUACACGGAGAGAUCCGUGGUUCCCUUCGGGGACCGGGACACAGGUGCUGCAUGGCUGUCGU
rnacentral:rRNA from 1 species